rnacentral:tRNA from 1 species
GAGAAAAAAGCAUAAAAUUGGUGUGCGACUAGUUUGAACCUAGGUGGAAGGGGUUCGAAUCUCCUUUUUCUUG